rnacentral:rRNA from 1 species
GUCUAUGGCCAUGCCACCCUGAACAAGCCUGAUGUCUGAUCUCGGAAGCUAAGCAGGGUCGGGCCUGGUUAGUACUUGGAGGGGAGGCAACCUAGGAAUACCAGGUUCUGUAGGCA